GACGAACCGUGCGAACGUUGUUCGGAAUCACUGGGCUUAAAGGGCGCGUAGGCGGGCGAUCAAGUCAGGGGUGAAAUCCGUCGGCUUAACCGGCGAAGAGCUUUUGAUACUGGUCGUCUCGAGGGAGGUAGGGGCAUACGGAACUUCCGGUGGAGCGGUGAAAUGCGUAGAGAUCGGAAGGAACGCCGGUGGCGAAGGCAGCCCCCUGGGCUAACACUGACGCUCAUGCACGAGAGCGUGGGGAGCGAACAGG
rnacentral:rRNA from 1 species